GGGGACUGCCACAGGGUCCGGAGAAGUGGAUUGUGGGACUCCCAGGGUUUGUGGUCUAACUCCAUAGACCAACUGUUUAGAGAGCGUCCCCGACGCCCAACAUGGGAGGCCGAGGUGCGGACGCCGAGCCCGGGGGCUUCCCCGCCUCCCAGACUUGGGCCGGGUCCAAGCCUUUGUUAUUUGGUCCUGGGAGACAGAACCAAAAGCAGAGGUGGGGGGGGGGGGGCUUAGGGCCGGGGACGGGCAGACCCGGGGCCUUCCGGUCACUGAGUCCUCCCCCCACGGGUGCCCGGGGGGGGGGCAGCAGGCCCCAUCCCCCACCCCCUGACACACACGACACCCCAGGCCUGCUGGGCGGGGCACAAUCCGGCCUCAAAACUGGCGAAAACAAUGGAAUCCGUUAGUGCAGCGGCUGCGUGGCCCCGGGCGCCGCCUGACGCAACCACAAAAAUGCUGGAAGCCGCGGGGCUCGGCCGUUAACCCUUGGGACGUGCGGGCCCGGGAAGAGGGGGGGUGGAGGAGGGAAGUGGGGAGGCUCCCCGGGAACGAGCACGGGACGGCGCCUCCGUGGGGAGCCCCAGCUGCCCCCCCCCUCCCCCCCGUCAUCCCGAGGGCACGAGUGGCAAGAGAAGACUCUGCCCCUCCCCCUAAGAGGGAGAGGGCUCUUCCUCCUCAGUGGCCUCUAGAGACACACCUGGAGCCAGCCCCGGGCGGAGUGAGGCUGCUCGGCCCGCUGGAGGUCACUGAAUCCGGGUUCAAGGGACCCCAGAAUAAUUUGCCCAUUAUCCAAGAAUUAGGCUAAAAAUGUUGUGCAGCUGAGGGAAACCUGCGCCCAGGACCCGCUCUGGAGGCCACCGGGGAGCGGGGCCGCAGACUUGGAAGGAAGAGGCUGAGACCGUGGGCACAGGAGCCCGUGGGCACAGGAGCCCAUGGGCACAGGAGCCUGGAGGAGAAGGUCGGAGGGUCCCAGCCCCCUGUAACUGAGGACUAGAGGGGGAAGGGGCUCUCCCGGGGCAGGAAGGGAGGAGGGAGGACGUGGCUCCGGGUCUUUGGACGCCAAAGCCAGGCCUUGUCCCGGCAGAUGGCCUCUGAAGGCCAAGGCUGGCCCGGGAGGGCCUCUUCUUCGCCUGGACUCUGUGCUCAGCCUCUCCCUCAGCUGACCAGCAGCCACAACCACAUGAGCCGGACUCUCCAGAACCAACCACCGGCCCUGCCAUUAUAGGCUCCCCACCGACCCCGCUCCGAGCCUGGCCACUGGGAGGACCAAGGAGGGGCAUUGGAACGGAUGGGCAGCUCCAGGAUGGUGGAGAUGUUGGGGGAACAGCUUCCAGGGCUGAGGAGGAAGAGCAGUAGCGGGGUCAGUGCUGGCACACAGACCCUGCAAAGGGAGCGACCCCGAGGCAAUGGUCCAGACUGGGGGGGGGACAACUAACAGGGGAGCAGGACCCGGUUCUCCAUCCCAGAAGUUGUGAGUCUCUCCUUCCUCAUCCCUGAAAUGUUCCCUGUUGCCAUGAGGAGGGGGAAUAAAGGAGUCAAGAUGGAGGAGCGGUGGUGGCCUGGGGCUGCUGAGGUGGGACAGGUCGGGGCAGCAGGGGCGGGGCCUCUGGCUCUUCUAGGUGAGGCUCCAGCACAGCGGCCCAUUGUGGCCGCCCAGUGGCCUCCCCCCCCCAAGCCUUCCCUCGCCUCCCCCCAUCUAG